GGGGCUAUAGCUCAGUUGGUAGAGCGCCUGCAUGGCAUGCAGGAGGUCAGGAGUUCAAUU
rfam:Streptomyces sp. MnatMP-M17 genome assembly, contig: Ga0115259_10998